rnacentral:tRNA from 2 species
GGGGAUGUAGCUCAGUUGGCUAGAGCACUACAUUUGCAAUGUAGGGGUCGCGGGUUCGAAUCCCGCCAUCUCCA